GACUCUGGUGGUUGGUGCUCCUGGUUUCCAGGAUGGGGUUCAAGUCCCUGCGGCGUC
rnacentral:sRNA from 1 species